rnacentral:lncRNA from 1 species
CCACAGCAGUGAAAAGACUCCUGUUGUCAUAUGUAUUUUCUGCCUGUUGGUCCACGG